AUGGAGUCCCUGCUGAGCUGCGUUUUCCUUGUUACAGUUUUGAAAGGUGUCCAGAGUGAGGUGCAGCUGGUGGAGUCUCGGGGAGGCUUGGUCCAGCCUGGGGGGUCCCUGAGACUCUCCUGUGCGGCCUCUGGAUUCACCUUCAGUAACUACUAGAUGCACUGGGUCCGCCAGGCUCCAGGGAAGGGGCUGGAGUGGGUUGGACAAAUUAAUCCUAAUGGAGGUAGCACAUACUACGCAGACUCCGUGAAGGGCCGAUUCACCAUCUCCAGAGACAACGCCAAGAACUCGCUGUAUCUGCAGAUGAGCAGCCUGAGAGCCGAGGACACGGCCGUGUAUUACUGUGCGAGACACAGUGAGGGGAGGCCCGUGUGA